UACGAAGGGGGCUAGCGUUGUUCGGAAUCACUGGGCGUAAAGGGCGCGUAGGCGGCUUGCACCGUCAGAUGUGAAAUUCCUGGGCUUAACCUGGGGGCUGCAUUUGAUACGUGUGGGCUUGAGUGCGGAAGAGGGUCGUGGAAUUCCAGGUGUAGCGGUGAAAUGCGUAGAUACCUGGAGGAACACCGGUGGCGAAGGCGGCAUCCUGGACCAAUACUGACGCUGAGGAGCGAAAGCCAGGGGAGCAAACGGG
rnacentral:rRNA from 1 species